rnacentral:rRNA from 1 species
CACGCCGUAAACGAUGGGUGCUAGGUGUCGCGGGCUUUGACCCCCGCGGUGCCGCAGCUAACGCAUUAAGCACCCCGCCUGGGGAGUACGGCCGCAAGGCUAAAACUCAAAGGAAUUGACGGGGGCCCGCACAAGCGGUGGAGCAUGUGGUUCAAUUCGACGCAACGCGCAGAACCUUACCUGGGCUAGAAAAUGCAGGAGCCUGGCCGAAAGGCCGGGGUGCUCUUCGGAGAACCUGUAGUUAGGUGC